rnacentral:misc_RNA from 1 species
GUCAUAGUUGUGCACAGAUGAUCUCUAUUUACACAUGUAUUACCAGCAUAUUCACACUUUCGGUAGCAAAGCGAUUUUCUCAACUCGAGAUUCUAAACAAUACAAAACAUACUGAUUCAGGUCGAUGUUUAAUUUUACUGAAUAGGAUCUAUCUCGAAUUGAGAGCAUGUAUUGUUUCUUCUUGCCCUCUGUCCAUUCUCCCUUGCUGCUUUCACCAUCUCCUCGAUAUUUAAUCCUUCACAAACUUGACCGAUCAUAUCUCGUGAAUGUGUCGGACUUCCUAAACCACCUGGCAGAGAAAUCAUAGAUGCAGC